GUCCACACCGUAAACGUUGGGCGCUAGGUGUGGGGCCUAUUCCAUGGGUUCCGUGCCGCAGCUAACGCAUUAAGCGCCCCGCCUGGGGAGUACGGCCGCAAGGCUAAAACUCAAAGGAAUUGACGGGGGCCCGCACAAGCGGCGGAGCAUGCGGAUUAAUUCGAUGCAACGCGAAGAACCUUACCUGGGUUUGACAUACACCGGAAAGCCGUAGAGAUACGGCCCCUUUUAGUCGGUGUACAGGUGGUGCAUGGCUGUCGU
rnacentral:rRNA from 1 species